GAGCUGUGAGGAAAUUGGCUUUAGCGUUGGUUGGGUCCUUCGCAUUCUUCUGACUUAACAGAUGGACAUAUGGCCUAAGUCUGAGCUC
rfam:Capsella rubella cultivar Monte Gargano unplaced genomic scaffold scaffold_2, whole genome shotgun sequence.